GUCUAUGGCCAUACCACCCUGUACACGCCCAACCUCAUCUCUCAGAAGCUAAGCAGGGUCGGGCCUGGUUAGUACUUGGAUGGGAGGUCUCCAGUGGGGGCCACACCUGUAGGUG
rnacentral:rRNA from 1 species